UUUUGCUGAGAAAGAACUGCUCCAAUAGCAUUUUCAGAUGCAUCUACUUGUAGGACAUAAGGAUAUGAAGGAUUUGGAAGGUGUAGAACAGGAGCAGUUGUAAAUCUGUUUUUUAAUUCAUCAAAAGCUUCUUGUGCAUUGUUAUUCCACCUAAAGGGAUGUUUGUUUCCGGUAAGGGCAUGGAGAGGAUGGGCUACUUCAGAGAAAUUCUUGAUAAACUUCCUGUAAAAAUUUGCAAAACCAAGAAAUCUCUGGACAUCUUUGAUGGAUGAAGGUUUAGGCCAGUCAAUAAUGCAUUUUAUUUUGGAAUCAUCCAUUCUUAUUGAAUGAGGCGAAAUAAUAUAGCCAAG